rnacentral:rRNA from 1 species
CCUACGGGAGGCUGCAGUAGGGAAUCUUGCACAAUGGGCGAAAGCCUGAUGCAGCAACGCCGCGUGAGUGAGGACGUCUUCGGGUCGUAAAACCUUGUUGUUAGAGGAGAAAGUGCGUGAGAGUAGCUGUUCACGUCUCGACGGUAUAUAACCAGAAAGCCACGGCUAACUACGAGCCACCAGCCGCGGUAAUACGUAGGGGGCAAGCGUUAUCCGUAUUUAUUGGGCGUAAAGGGAACGUAGGCGGGUCUGUAAGUCUGAUGUGAAAGCCUGCGGAUUAACCGGAGUAGUGCAGUUGAAACUGGUAGACUUGAGUGCAGGAGAGGUAAGUGGAAUUCGUGGUGUAGCGGUGAAAUGCGUAGAUAUUAGGAAGAACACCAGUUGCGAAGGCGGCUUACUGGUCUGUAACUGACGCUGAGGCUCGAAAGCGUGGGUAGCAAACAGGAUUAGAUACCCGAGUAGUC